GACGAACGCUGGCGGCGUGCCUAAUACAUGCAAGUUGAGCGCUGAAGGUUGGUACUUGUACCAACUGGAUGAGCAGCGAACGGGUGAGUAACGCGUGGGGAAUCUGCCUUUGAGCGGGGGACAACAUUUGGAAACGAAUGCUAAUACCGCAUAAAAACUUUAAACACAAGUUUUAAGUUUGAAAGAUGCAAUUGCAUCACUCAAAGAUGAUCCCGCGUUGUAUUAGCUAGUUGGUGAGGUAAAGGCUCACCAAGGCGAUGAUACAUAGCCGACCUGAGAGGGUGAUCGGCCACAUUGGGACUGAGACACGGCCCAAACUCCUACGGGAGGCAGCAGUAGGGAAUCUUCGGCAAUGGACGAAAGUCUGACCGAGCAACGCCGCGUGAGUGGAGAAGGUUUUCGGAUCGUAAAACUCUGUUGGUAGAGAAGAACGUUGGUGAGAGUGGAAAGCUCAUCAAGUGACGGUAACUACCCAGAAAGGGACGGCUAACUACGUGCCAGCAGCCGCGGUAAUACGUAGGUCCCGAGCGUUGUCCGGAUUUAUUGGGCGUAAAGCGAGCGCAGGUGGUUUAUUAAGUCUGGUGUAAAAGGCAGUGGCUCAACCAUUGUAUGCAUUGGAAACUGGUAGACUUGAGUGCAGGAGAGGAGAGUGGAAUUCCAUGUGUAGCGGUGAAAUGCGUAGAUAUAUGGAGGAACACCGGUGGCGAAAGCGGCUCUCUGGCCUGUAACUGACACUGAGGCUCGAAAGCGUGGGGAGCAAACAGGAUUAGAUACCCUGGUAGUCCACGCUGUAAACGAUGAGUGCUAGAUGUAGGGAGCUAUAAGUUCUCUGUAUCGCAGCUAACGCAAUAAGCACUCCGCCUGGGGAGUACGACCGCAAGGUUGAAACUCAAAGGAAUUGACGGGGGCCCGCACAAGCGGUGGAGCAUGUGGUUUAAUUCGAAGUAACGCGAAGAACCUUACCAGGUCUUGACAUACUCGUGCUAUUCCUAGAGAUAGGAAGUUCCUUCGGGACACGGGAUACAGGUGGUGCAUGGUUGUCGUCAGCUCGUGUCGUGAGAUGUUGGGUUAAGUCCCGCAACGAGCGCAACCCCUAUUGUUAGUUGCCAUCAUUAAGUUGGGCACUCUAACGAGACUGCCGGUGAUAAACCGGGGGAAGGUGGGGAUGACGUCAAAUCAUCAUGCCCCUUAUGACCUGGGCUACACACGUGCUACAAUGGAUGGUACAACGAGUCGCGAGACAGUGAUGUUUAGCUAAUCUCUUAAAACCAUUCUCAGUUCGGAUUGUAGGCUGCAACUCGCCUACAUGAAGUCGGAAUCGCUAGUAAUCGCGGAUCAGCACGCCGCGGUGAAUACGUUCCCGGGCCU
rnacentral:rRNA from 1 species